ACCAAAUUCACUCUCCUGCCAUUACGCCCUCCACUGAUUUCAUAGCACUGAUCAGUCACUUACUUCUGCUACAGAGUUGUGGCCGUCAUUGGAGAAUGACAACCUGAGAUCAGAAGUGGCCUCCAGCUUGACAGCGAGAGUCAGAGCCAGCUGGUUGACAAGUGACGAAAAACUACUACUGACAUAUGAUAAAGUAGAGUUAUAAAAUCACAGUCCUAUAAAUGUCCUUAACAACAAAACAGCAUGGAAAAGAAAUGUUUCUGAGGAUAACUUCUGGGAAUGGAACUGUUGGACCACCUCUAGAAGUGAACCAGAAGCUACACAUCCAAUAAGUCCUUUGGUCGAAGAGAUGGAGAGAAAGCAUGAGGAGAAAGAGAAGAUGCUAUGCCAGACAGUUUGCUCUGAACCCCGACAUUUCCAUAUCAGGAACUAAGACCAAGGAGGGAACAGCCACCUGAGGGAAUUGGGCAAGCACUACUGGGGAGGUCACCACCCAUCCAGACCUCUUUAAGAAGAAAUCAGGCUGGACCAGAAGCCAGAAAAUUUGAGGAGUGGGAGAGUAUCAACCUUCUGCAAAAUGAAACAAAACAGGAAAAAUGUGGGUUUUUGUGAAAUUCAAAUAGGAAGUGUUCUACUACCCAAGGCAAUCUACACAUCCAGUGCAAUCCCUAUCAAAAUCACGCCAGCAUUUUUUACAGAGCUAGAACAAACAAUUCUAAAAUUUGUAUGGAACCAGAAAAGACCCCAAGUCGCCAAAGGAAUGCUGAAAAAGAAAACCAAAGCCAGAGGCAUCAGAAUUCUGGACUUCCAGCUCCAUUACAAAGCUGUAAUCACCAAGACAGUAUGGUACUGGCACAAAAACAGACAUAUAGAUCAGUGGAACAGAGCAGAAAACCCAGAAAAGGACCCUCACUAUAUGGUCAACUCAUCUUCAACAAAGCAGGAAAGAACACCCAGUGGAAAAAAGGCAGUCUCCUCAACAAAUGGUGUUGGGAAAAUUGGACAGCUACAUGCAGAAGAAUGAUGCUUUCUUCUAUUAAAGCAGACUCAUGUAAUCAGGAGUUGAAAGUAUGACACUUAAUAUGACAUACAAUUAAUACAUAUGGUUAUUUAACUUAAUAUUUUACAGUGGGAGUGUGGUACAAUUUAUAGCAUUAAACUAGGAAUCUCUCUUAUGGGUGGCACACAGUUCUAACUGAUGAUGUCUGAAUGUCAAGUAACUCUAUACCCCACCUACUUCCUGUCCUACCUAACUAGCUUCAUUAUAGAUAUAUACUUUUACUUAAAGAAUUUUAAAUUUUCUGAAAAGAGCUGAAGAAAGGACAAAAGGAGAAUGAAAAGAAAGGAUCCUUUUGUAUUUGGGGCAUAUUUUGAAAUGUUUUACUAUAAGUAAGAGGGAAGUAUGAAAUAUAUUUAUUACUAUGUCUUAGGAGUUGAUUCUUUGGUCAUUUUGAAAUAUUUGUCUUUAUGCUAAUGUCUCUUAUCUCUGAAUAUUUUGACUGAUUUUAAAGUACCACUAAUGCUUUCUUAUGCUUAAUUUUUAUCCAUUAUUUUAGUUUUAACAAACUGCAUCUUUAUUUUUUUAUUUAUUUUUUUUAAGGAUUUUGUUUAUUUAUUUUGAGAGAGAGAGCAUGAGCAAGGGGGAGUAGCAGAGGGAGAAGGAGAAGCAGACUCCCCACUGAGCAGGGAGCCCUACGCCCUGGCUCAAUCCCAGGACACUGGGAUGAUGACCUGAGCAGAAGGCAGAUGCUUAACCAGCUGAGCCACCCAGGUGCCCCUGCAUCUUUAUUUUUAAAAUGCAUCUCCUGUAGAUAGCUUAUAGUUGGUCUUGUUCUAUUUUAAAUCUAGUGAUAGUCUCUGCCUCAUAAUUGGUAUGUUUAUGUUUAAUUUAGUUACCGUUAUUUUGGGACUUAAUACCCAAUUUUGCUAUUUUUCUCCCCUUCUAACUUAUUUUUUACUAUUUGUUGCAAGUGUCUUGCCUUAUUUUGGGAUGAUUAAUAUUUUCAGUAUUCCAUUAAAUUUUCUUUACUAGCUUUUAGCUAAACUUCCUGGUUUGUUCGCUUGUUUAUUUGUUUAUAUUUUAGUGAUUGCUCUAGGAAUAUAAAAAAAUCACCUUGAACUUAUCAUUGUCCACUUAGAGCUAAUGUAUAAAUAGCACCUUAUGCAAUAUGUAAGAAUCUUGUAGUCACAUGGUUUCGUCUGCCAGGACUCCAUCAUUUGUGAUUGUAUUUUCUUAUAAUGCUACAUCUAUGUGUGAUUUAAUACCCAGA